rnacentral:rRNA from 1 species
AGUGAACGCUGGCGGUAGGCCUAACACAUGCAAGUCGAACGGCAGCACAGUAAGAGCUUGCUCUUACGGGUGGCGAGUGGCGGACGGGUGAGGAAUACAUCGGAAUCUACUUUUUCGUGGGGGAUAACGUAGGGAAACUUACGCUAAUACCGCAUACGACCUACGGGUGAAAGCAGGGGAUCUUCGGACCUUGCGCGAUUCAAUGAGCCGAUGUCGGAUUAGCUAGUUGGCGGGGUAAAGGCCCACCAAGGCAACGAUCCGUAGCUGGUCUGAGAGGAUGAUCAGCCACACUGGAACUGAGACACGGUCCAGACUCCUACGGGAGGCAGCAGUGGGGAAUAUUGGACAAUGGGCGCAAGCCUGAUCCAGCCAUACCGCGUGGGUGAAGAAGGCCUUCGGGUUGUAAAGCCCUUUUGUUGGGAAAGAAAAGCAGCAGGUUAAUACCCCGCUGUUCUGACGGUACCCAAAGAAUAAGCACCGGCUAACUUCGUG